AAGUCGUAACAAGGUUUCCGUAGGUGAACCUGCGGAAGGAUCAUUUCAGUAUUUUAAGAGCGCCCUUCCGGGCGUUCUCUUUCUUUUUCUCUUUGGAGAAGAAGAGAGUAUACAGUAACUGUUGAAAUAAUUCCAAGUAUGGGAAUAAUUUUGUUAAUAAUCUAACUAAAUAAGUAAUAAAGAUAAGGAGGUAUAAAAAAAAGUAAAAUAUAUACAACUUUUAACAAUGGAUCUCUAGGCUCUC
rnacentral:misc_RNA from 1 species